UCAGAAUUUGCAUUCUGACAAGAUCCCUGGUUGGUUCACAUUAAGGUUUGAGAAGCAUUGAUAUAUACAUGCCAUAUUUAGUUCUAUAGCCUACUUUGUCACUUACAAAAACUAGAAAGUUUUCAUUUUCUCUCUGUUCCGCAUUCAUUAACAAUCGUUAACAAUGCCAUGGAAAUAGUACUUUGUAGAAUUGGGAAAGCAUUUAGUCAUUACAAAAGAGUGAAAUAGAUACUGAUUUGUGAAUUGGCAAGGAGAUCUCUAAAAAUCUUCAAAUUUUUUUUUUUAAAGAGUCUUACUAUUCUAAAGUUUCAUAAUGAAACAUUGAUUACUGGAGUUCAAAUUGUUUCUGAAAUGUGGUUCUUUUAUUAUCUCAGAAUGUGAGACAAUAUUAUUUAUUUAUUUUUAUUAUUUUUAUUUUUUUAAAGAUUUUAUUUGACAGAGAGAAAUACAGCGAGAGAGGGAACACAAGCAGAGGGAGUGGGAGAGGGAAAAGCAGGCUUCCUGCCGAGCAGGGAGCCCAAUGCGGGGCUCAAUACCAGGACCCCGGGACCAUGACCUGAGCCGAAGGCAGACGCUCAACGACUGAGCCACCCAGGUGCCCCGACAAUACUUAGUUAAAAACCCCUUGAGGGAAAAAGGGCAGGAAGUCGUUAAAGAAAGCACAGUUGGCAACACAUCUGCGGCUGAAUCAGGACUUGUCAGCCUUGAGCACUCUGCUAACGAAUAGUGAGGGGGUGGGGAGAAAGGUGGAGCCUGAAUGUGAAUAAACUGAUUCAGAGGAGAAAACAAAGGCUGUGACUCUUGGACACCCUGGUAUAUUUAUAACUCUAGUCAGUACUUUGCUCUUUAAUUAGGGAGGGCAAAUCUUUAUAACCUUGCUAGAUGAAGAUAAGAGAAGACAAUAAGUGCAGUUUACUUUGGAAAAGAAAUCACAAUCGGUUCUUAGGCACUUGAGCUGCCAAUAUUUAGCAACAAAAUGGUAGACUUGGUCAGCUUCAAGGCGUGGAAUCAACUUUAAAUUCAAAUUCAGAUUCUAAGUGUAAGAGAGAAUGGAUACUUUUGGGGAGCCUGCAGCCUUCACAAAAUUGGGUUCUUGUUUGAUACAGGAAGGGAGUUGGGCAACAUCACUUGGCACUUGGCAGGGAAGCAAAGGUAGGCAAUGAAGAGGGAAAGUGACCAAGAUGACCUUAACAUUAUCCUCAGCUUGACCAAACUAGACAGGUUUCUUUCUGACUGCUUCUGACCCUCCCUUUUCUUGGAGCAUUUUCUUUAGAAACUUGCAAUUGGAAAUUCGUUCUUUGCCUUUUUGACAUGUAAAUCUUUCAACUUCUGUCUGUUUUGCAUCUGAGGAAUGUCCUCAAGGACCUGGGAGCCACCUCUUGGAAAUGUAAUCAAGAAAGACAGGGUCCCUAACUUCCAGUCUCUGGGAGAGGGAAUGUCUUGAAGACAGAAUUAGAAACCAGAAGACCUCGUCACAGAAUUCCUUUUUGGAGACAGUCACAUUCUAUUUAUUUCUUGGAAGCAUUCGGAGUGCAGCAUUGCAAGGAGUUUCUUCAUGGGGGCGAGAUAUGCUUCGGUAUGGUUCAGUCCUGACUGUUCGGACCCAAAAUGCUACAUAAUGGCUCAGUGCCACCUUACUGAGCCCAAGAGAUUUCUGAGUCUUUCCUUCAGGCAAUGCCCUGAAUCUUAAGAGACUUACUCUGGACCUCAGGAUAUCGCAUCACGAGCAGAAGUGCCCAGCACAGUGUGGAGGCCACGGUUUCUGUACCAGCCGCAAACCGCAAAAGAGAGAAUGAGAGACAGCAUGAGAGGGAGGAGGGUCAGAGGGAGAAGCAGACUCCCUGCCGAGCAGGGAGCCCGAUGCGGGACUCGAUCCCAGGACUCCAGGAUCAUGACCUGAGCCGAAGGCAGUGGCUUAACCAACUGAGCCACCCAGGCGCCCCUGGAAAUUAGUUUUUAACUGAGUGAUUAGAAUAUGCCCACCAUGGGGAUGCGGAGAAAGGGAACCCUCCUACACUGUUGGUGGAAAUGGAAGCUGGUGCAGCCACUCUGGAAAACAGUAUGGAGGUUCCUCAAAAAGUUGAAAAUAGAGCUACCAUACGAUCCAGCCAUUGCACUACUGGGUAUUUACCCCAAAGAUACAAAAGUAGGGAUCUGAAAGGGUACGUGCACCCCGAUGUGUAUAGCAGCAAUGUCCACAAUAGCCAAACUGUGGAAAGAGCCAAGAUGUCCGUCGACAGAUGAAUGGAUAAAGAAGAAGUGGUAUAUAUAUACAAUGGAAUAUUAUGCAGCCAUCAAAAGGAAUGAGAUCUUGCCAUUUGCAAUGACAUGGAUGGAACUGGAAGGUGUUAUGCUGAAUGAAAUAAGUCAAUCAGAGAAAGACAUGUAUCAUAUGACCUCACUGAUAUGAGGAAUUCUUAAUCUCAGGAAACAAACU